CCUGGUGGUUGUAGCGAGGAGCCUGAACCCGUUCCCAUCCCGAACACGGCCGUUAAACUCCUCAGCGCCAAUGGUACUUUGUCUCAAGACACGGGAGAGUAGGUCGCUGCCAGGC
rnacentral:rRNA from 1 species